AAAUCCCCAAUGAAACCACGCCCGCUUCAAAUCGCGCGGCAAAGAUCGAGCGGCAAAGUCAAAGACAAAGACAAAGACAAAGUCAAGCAGGCAUGGCCGGUUCUCUCGGAGUCCAGGACAUCGAACGGGUGGUUAUUGCAGCUGUACGGGCUGCACUCCAGGGUGUAGCUCCCCCGGUCCAGUCCACAUCAGCAACGGUUUCAACACCAACGGUGCCCAGUGCCUCAGGCACUUCCAACUUUGCCACCACCGUCACAUCACUGAGAUCAGCUCCUCUGCCAUCCAUCCCGCUACGUAAUCGGGCUCAAUCGGGAUACUUGAGACGAAGGAAUGUCAAAACAUACACGUAGGAUGUUGUAUGUUUAACUUUUUCACCGG
ensembl:lncRNA